rnacentral:rRNA from 1 species
UACAGAGGGUGCAAGCGUUGUUCGGAAUUAUUGGGCGUAAAGAGCUCGUAGGCGGUUUGUCGCGUCGGCUGUGAAAACUCGGGGCUCAACCCCGAGCCUGCAGUCGAUACGGGCAGACUAGAGUGCUGUAGGGGAGACUGGAAUUCCUGGUGUAGCGGUGAAAUGCGCAGAUAUCAGGAGGUACACCGGUGGCGAAGGCGGGUCUCUGGGCAGUAACUGACGCUGAGGAGCGAAAGCGUGGGGAGCAAACAGG